rnacentral:rRNA from 1 species
AAUGAACGCUGGCGGCAGGCCUAACACAUGCAAGUCGAGCGAGCAUUUCGGUGCUAGCGGCGGACGGGUGAGUAACGCGUGGGAACGUGCCCUUUUCUGCGGAAUAGUCCUGGGAAACUGGGGGUAAUACCGCAUACGCCCUUUUGGGGAAAGAUUUAUCGGAGAAGGAUCGGCCCGCGUUGGAUUAGGUAGUUGGUGGGGUAAUGGCCCACCAAGCCGACGAUCCAUAGCUGGUUUGGGAGGAUGAUCAGCCACACUGGGACUGAGACACGGCCCAGACUCCUACGGGAGGCAGCAGUGGGGAAUCUUAGACAAUGGGGGCAACCCUGAUCGAGCCAUGCCGCGUGAGUGAUGAAGGCCUUAGGGUUGUAAAGCUCUUUCAGCUGGGAAGAUAAUGACGGUACCAGCAGAAGAAGCCCCGGCUAACUCCGUG